AGGGGGAGGCCGGAUCCUGGGCUGUGUCCCCGGCGCCCAGUGCUCCCGGCCUGCGCUGUUGGAUUAGCGCUCCUGGCCGGGCUGCUCCCG
rnacentral:pre_miRNA from 1 species